AAGCCUGUGGGAGGUGGAGAGGCCAGGAGCGAGGGCUGGGGGCGGGGAUGGGGGCCAGGGAGCCCCGCACAUCCUGCAGCUGCGGCAGCGCUGGGUGACAGCAGCCCCCAGAGAUCCCGAGGCCAGCACCUGCACGGAGGUGCACACUCCACACUGGCCACGUCGUGGUUGCCCCGGCAACCGCACCGGAAGCGGGUGCUCCUGACGUCAAGUCCCAGGUCCGGAGCUGCCUUGACACUGCUGCGUCACGCGGACGUCAUGCGCCUCCGGUGGCGCCAUCACGUCACCAGGGGAAGGCCCUGCCAGGAGGGGGACGGACGCGGGAAGGGAAAGGCAGCAGGAGUGAAGGAUGAGCCAGGGACGCUGCACUCCAGAGCCGCAGGGUGCCUGCGCUGCGCCUGCUGCCCGCUGCUCACUGCCUGUUAUCUGCAUCCGGCCACUCAGGGGCACGGGGACCCUGCCGGCCUGAACUGCGGGGCCUCGCCUGCGGGAGAGGGGGGCCUGGGAGGCCAGCUCUCUGGGGCUCCCUGCCCUGCUCCCUGGGAGGAGACGCCGCUGCUGAGGGAGAGGAAGCAAGUGCCUUUCCUGCAGCUGCCGGGCACCUGCUGGGGCCUGAGCUCUCCAGCCAGCCACCAGGGGAGCAGCCUCGAAGACUCUGCCCUUUCCAGGUGACUCCCGGGAAGGCCGAGGGGGGACUGUGCUGUCCCUGUCAUCCCUCCCAGACGAGAGGAAAGGACUCCUGCUAGGUAGAAUUCAGAUUUCCGUGCUCGUCUGAGUCGGCCAGCGUGCAGGGUCUGUCUUCCAAACCAGAAGCUUUCAUUUUUCACUUGCUUGCUGUUUGAGAAAAGCCGCAAGGAGUGAGUGGGAAGAGGGAGAGAAGCCUGAUAAACUUUGGAAGCGGGGACAUUUUCUGGGAAGUGACAAGUAGCCUCCGACCUACGGUUCCUGGGCCGGUGGCGGCGGCGUCCUUGGCUUGGACACGCAGAAGGGUCUGGCCCCUGCCGCAUGACCAACACCAGAGACCCCCGGAGCGCCAUGGAUUCGACGCUGGUGCCAUCUGGGUCCGCCACGGGCCCAGCCACCUUCUCCCACGUCUUCGGUCAGCAGUGCCAGCUGAUGGAGGCAGGUAGGAGGGGGGUCGCGUGGGGAGUGGGGCGCAGCCAGGGCCCCUGCAGCCCAGGCCCGUGCGC
rnacentral:lncRNA from 1 species